AUUGAACGCUGGCGGAAUGCUUUACACAUGCAAGUCGAACGGUAGAGGGGGCAACCCCUUGAGAGUGGCGAACGGGUGAGUAAUAUAUCGGAACGUGCCCAGUCGUGGGGAUAACGUAGCGAAAGUUACGCUAAUACCGCAUACGAUCUAAGGAUGAAAGCGGGGGGACUCGCAAGAGCCUCGCGCGAUUGGAGCGGCCGAUAUCAGAUUAGGUAGUUGGUGGGGUAAAGGCUCACCAAGCCAACGAUCUGUAGCUGGUCUGAGAGGACGACCAGCCACACUGGAACUGAGACACGGUCCAGACUCCUACGGGAGGCAGCAGUGGGGAAUUUUGGACAAUGGGCGAAAGCCUGGAUCCAGCAAUGCCGCGUGAGUGAUGAA
rnacentral:rRNA from 1 species